rnacentral:RNase_P_RNA from 1 species
AUGCGUGAACAGACGGUCGCUGGGCAGUUGUGAUGACUGCCGAGAGGAAAGUCCGAGCUUCACAGAGCAGGGUGCUGGCUAACUACCAGUGGAGGCGACUUUAAGGAAAGUGCAACAGAAAAUUACCGCAGUUUAUCUGUAAGGUCGAAAAGGCGAGGUAAGAGCUCACCGCAUGCUAGGUGACUAGCGUGGCAAUGUAAACCCCACCCGAAGCAAGAUUAAGUAUGGUCUUAGG